GCCUGAAUCAGUGUGUGUGUUAGUGGAAGCGUCUGGAAAGGCGCGCGAUACAGGGUGACAGCCCCGUACACAAAAAUGCACAUGCUGUGAGCUCGAUGAGUAGGGCGGGACACGUGGUAUCCUGUCUGAAUAUGGGGGGACCAUCCUCCAAGGCUAAAUACUCCUGACUGACCGAUAGUGAACCAGUACCGUGAGGGAAAGGCGAAAAGAACCCCGGCGAGGGGAGUGAAAAAGAACCUGAAACCGUGUACGUACAAGCAGUGGGAGCACGCUUAGGCGUGUGACUGCGUACCUUUUGUAUAAUGGGUCAGCGACUUAUAUUCUGUAGCAAGGUUAACCGAAUAGGGGAGCCGAAGGGAAACCGAGUCUUAACUGGGCGUUAAGUUGCAGGGUAUAGACCCGAAACCCGGUGAUCUAGCCAUGGGCAGGUUGAAGGUUGGGUAACACUAACUGGAGGACCGAACCGACUAAUGUUGAAAAAUUAGCGGAUGACUUGUGGCUGGGGGUGAAAGGCCAAUCAAACCGGGAGAUAGCUGGUUCUCCCCGAAAGCUAUUUAGGUAGCGCCUCGUGAAUUCAUCUCCGGGGGUAGAGCACUGUUUCGGCAAGGGGGUCAUCCCGACUUACCAACCCGAUGCAAACUGCGAAUACCGGAGAAUGUUAUCACGGGAGACACACGGCGGGUGCUAACGUCCGUCGUGAAGAGGGAAACAACCCAGACCGCCAGCUAAGGUCCCAAAGUCAUGGUUAAGUGGGAAACGAUGUGGGAAGGCCCAGACAGCCAGGAUGUUGGCUUAGAAGCAGCCAUCAUUUAAAGAAAGCGUAAUAGCUCACUGGUCGAGUCGGCCUGCGCGGAAGAUGUAACGGGGCUAAACCAUGCACCGAAGCUGCGGCAGCGACACUAUGUGUUGUUGGGUAGGGGAGCGUUCUGUAAGCCUGUGAAGGUGUGCUGUGAGGCAUGCUGGAGGUAUCAGAAGUGCGAAUGCUGACAUAAGUAACGAUAAAGCGGGUGAAAAGCCCGCUCGCCGGAAGACCAAGGGUUCCUGUCCAACGUUAAUCGGGGCAGGGUGAGUCGACCCCUAAGGCGAGGCCGAAAGGCGUAGUCGAUGGGAAACAGGUUAAUAUUCCUGUACUUGGUGUUACUGCGAAGGGGGGACGGAGAAGGCUAUGUUGGCCGGGCGACGGUUGUCCCGGUUUAAGCGUGUAGGCUGGUUUUCCAGGCAAAUCCGGAAAAUCAAGGCUGAGGCGUGAUGACGAGGCACUACGGUGCUGAAGCAACAAAUGCCCUGCUUCCAGGAAAAGCCUCUAAGCAUCAGGUAACAUCAAAUCGUACCCCAAACCGACACAGGUGGUCAGGUAGAGAAUACCAAGGCGCUUGAGAGAACUCGGGUGAAGGAACUAGGCAAAAUGGUGCCGUAACUUCGGGAGAAGGCACGCUGAUAUGUAGGUGAAGCGACUUGCUCGUGGAGCUGAAAUCAGUCGAAGAUACCAGCUGGCUGCAACUGUUUAUUAAAAACACAGCACUGUGCAAACACGAAAGUGGACGUAUACGGUGUGACGCCUGCCCGGUGCCGGAAGGUUAAUUGAUGGGGUUAGCGGUAACGCGAAGCUCUUGAUCGAAGCCCCGGUAAACGGCGGCCGUAACUAUAACGGUCCUAAGGUAGCGAAAUUCCUUGUCGGGUAAGUUCCGACCUGCACGAAUGGCGUAAUGAUGGCCAGGCUGUCUCCACCCGAGACUCAGUGAAAUUGAACUCGCUGUGAAGAUGCAGUGUACCCGCGGCAAGACGGAAAGACCCCGUGAACCUUUACUAUAGCUUGACACUGAACAUUGAGCCUUGAUGUGUAGGAUAGGUGGGAGGCUUUGAAGUGUGGACGCCAGUCUGCAUGGAGCCGACCUUGAAAUACCACCCUUUAAUGUUUGAUGUUCUAACGUUGACCCGUAAUCCGGGUUGCGGACAGUGUCUGGUGGGUAGUUUGACUGGGGCGGUCUCCUCCUAAAGAGUAACGGAGGAGCACGAAGGUUGGCUAAUCCUGGUCGGACAUCAGGAGGUUAGUGCAAUGGCAUAAGCCAGCUUGACUGCGAGCGUGACGGCGCGAGCAGGUGCGAAAGCAGGUCAUAGUGAUCCGGUGGUUCUGAAUGGAAGGGCCAUCGCUCAACGGAUAAAAGGUACUCCGGGGAUAACAGGCUGAUACCGCCCAAGAGUUCAUAUCGACGGCGGUGUUUGGCACCUCGAUGUCGGCUCAUCACAUCCUGGGGCUGAAGUAGGUCCCAAGGGUAUGGCUGUUCGCCAUUUAAAGUGGUACGCGAGCUGGGUUUAGAACGUCGUGAGACAGUUCGGUCCCUAUCUGCCGUGGGCGCUGGAGAACUGAGGGGGGCUGCUCCUAGUACGAGAGGACCGGAGUGGACGCAUCACUGGUGUUCGGGUUGUCAUGCCAAUGGCACUGCCCGGUAGCUAAAUGCGGAAGAGAUAAGUGCUGAAAGCAUCUAAGCACGAAACUUGCCCCGAGAUGAGUUCU
rnacentral:rRNA from 1 species